CGGCGGACGGGUGAGUAACGCGUGGGUAACCUGCCUCAUACAGGGGGAUAAUAGUUGGAAACGGACUGCUAAUACCGCAUAAGCGCACAGUACCGCAUGGUACGGUGUGAAAAACUCCGGUGGUAUGAGAUGGACCCGCGUCUGAUUAGGUAGUUGGUGGGGUAACGGCCUACCAAGCCGACGAUCAGUAGCCGACCUGAGAGGGUGACCGGCCACAUUGGGACUGAGACACGGCCCAA
rnacentral:rRNA from 1 species